GAUGAACGCUGGCGGCGUGCUUAACACAUGCAAGUCGAACGGAAAGGCCCAAGCUUGCUUGGGUACUCGAGUGGCGAACGGGUGAGUAACACGUGGGUGAUCUGCCCUGCACUUCGGGAUAAGCCUGGGAAACUGGGUCUAAUACUGGAUAGGACCACUUCUUGGAUGUUGUGGUGGAAAGUUUUUUCGGUGUGGGAUGAGUUCGCGGCCUAUCCGCUUGUUGGUGGGGUAGUGGCCUACCAAGGCGUCGACGGGUAGCCGGCCUGAGGGGGUGUACGGCCACAUUGGGACUGAGGUACGGCCCAGACUCCUACGGGAGGCAGCAGGGGGGAAUAUUGCACAAUGGGCGCAAGCCUGAUGCAGCGAGGCCGCGUGUGGGAUGACGGCCUUCGGGUUGUAAACUCCUUUCGCUAGGGACGAAGCGUUUUGUGACGGUACCUGGAGAAGAAGCACCGGCUAACUACGUG
rnacentral:rRNA from 1 species